CCAAAGUAGCAUGCUACGAGAAGUUUUCUAUCGUAUUCAGAAAUCUAGUUCGUUGCUCGUUCUUUUACCCAGUUACGCGUCUUGCGAACAGGAAAUCUGUUACAAUUGGAUAAAUGGUUUAUGCAUAUAUAUAUAUAUAUAGUGUAUAUAGUGUAUAUAGUGUAUAUAGUAUAUAUACGUAUGCCAGUAUCUGCAAUUGCAGCUGUCGACACAAGUUAUGGAAAUUCCUCUAUGAACCAUCUCUUCACGACAUUUUUGAAGAAGUCCUUAUUCAAAGAAAAUUAUGCAGUAAGCUAUAGAAAUGAUAUUUAAUGAAAACCUUUCUUCACGUACACAUUUAUCGUGAGAAGAGAGAAGACGAGAUGGACCUUCGCCUUGCGCGCGUGGACGGUGCGCCAAUUUCGGAACACCCAGUAUAUAUCCCAGUAUUUAUCAUUUACGAAUGCAGAGCCUGACGAGAACAACGAUCGGUGCUGGCCAUGGAUAAGUUCACUGAUCCCGUGUCGUACGAGAAGAAGCAGCACAUGCUGUUGCUUUUGCUUUUGGUGCUCCAUGUCAUGCAGCUUUUUCGAGGUUCGCCAUGGUUCAUCUAAAGUAUAAUUUCUCAGAGA